GAUGAACGCUAGCGGCAGGCCUAACACAUGCAAGUCGAGGGAGAAGCCCUUUCGGGGGCAGAAACCGGCGCACGGGGGCGUAACGCGUAUGCAACCUACCUUUCACAGGGGGAAAGCCGGAAGAAAUUUGGAUUAAUACCCCUUAAAAUUAUUGGUGGGAUUCAUUUGUUAUUUAAAAUGCGGGGGUGGAAAGUUGGGCAUGCGUCCUAUUAGCUAGUUGGAGUGGUAACGGCACCCCAAGGCUACGAUAGGUAGGGGUCCUGAGAGGGAGAUCCCCCACACUGGUACUGAGACAGGGACCAGACUCCUACGGGAGGCAGCAGUGAGGAAUAUUGGUCAAUGGUCGGAAGACUGAACCAGCCAUGCCGCGUGCAGGAAGAAUGCCUUAUGGGUUGUAAACUGCUUUUAUAUGGGAAGAAUAAGGCGUACGUGUACGUUGAUGACGGUACCAUAUGAAUAAGCAUCGGCUAACUCCGUG
rnacentral:rRNA from 1 species